rnacentral:lncRNA from 1 species
UAUGAGUGCUAUUUUUUCACACUAGUAAUUAACAGGGUAUAGCAGUUUUUUCUUGAAAGUUGUUAUUUAAUAGAGUGUAGUCUUCAUAUAGGAUCACAUUAGGCAUGCAGGCACUUAAGUAUCCUACCUUUCUAACAAGGUUCCUGGGGUUUAGCAAUCAUUUUCUUUAAGUCCGCUUACUGACUCCUUUGCUCACUGUAUGCAGGGUGCAUCGUCUGCAUGGUGGGUAUCUUGUCUACUCGUAUGUUUCCUUUUCCAUUCUUGCAGAAGGUAUUUUCAGACCGUGGGUACUUGGGUCCCUGGAUGUUCAUUAAGUAGCUGUUCCAUGUCUUGUCAUUUUAGAAUCUCUAGGGUGUCUGUAGUCAAAACCUGGGAGGUAGUGUUAACUGGUUUUAUGGCCCUAGCUUGAUCCCAGUGUACAGUAAGGUCAGCGGUGUACACAUGCACUGCCAGAGCUGUCGUUAACUUGACCUUAGCUAAAUCACUUUUAUGUUCUUGUAAACAUUGGGCUAGGGUCUUAUUAGUUAUUCCGAUAUAAGCAGCUUGUUCUUUUGUUUCCUGAUUCAUAAUUGGUAUCCUGUAAACUCCUGUUUUUUCAUGUUCUUACUUCUGAUCCUUCUCAUUUCUAAAUCUAUUAAGCACUGUCAUGGCCCUACUAAUGGCUAUUCUCUUCUCUGUCUUCUUAGAUACCUUCUUAGUAAAUCUCAUCUUGUUAAAAGAGUAUGGUACUGGUAUAAAGCCAGGUCUUGCUACUGCCUGGUUCUCUUCAAUGUGUCACUCUUGUAG